rnacentral:rRNA from 1 species
CCUACGGGUGGCAGCAGUGAGGAAUAUUGGUCAAUGGGCGGGAGCCUGAACCAGCCAAGUCGCGUGAGGGAAGACGGUCCUAUGGAUUGUAAACCUCUUUAGGCGGGGAGCAAUGCCGGGCACGCGUGCCCGGAGGGAGAGUACCCGCAGAAUAAGCAUCGGCUAACUCCGUGCCAGCAGCCGCGGUAAUACGGAGGAUGCGAGCGUUAUCCGGAUUUAUUGGGUUUAAAGGGUGCGUAGGCGGAUUUUUAAGUCAGCGGUAAAAUGUCCGGGCUCAACCCGGGCCGGCCGUUGAAACUGGGGAGCUUGAGUGGGCGAGAAGUAUGCGGAAUUCGUGGUGUAGCGGUGAAAUGCUUAGAUAUCACGAAGAACCCCGAUGGCGAAGGCAGCUUACUAAACUGUGACUGACAUUGAUGCACGAGAGCGUGGGUAGCGAACAGGAUUAGAUACCCGUGUAGUC